rfam:Schistosoma curassoni strain Dakar, Senegal genome assembly, scaffold: SCTD_scaffold0002071
AUCCAGCUGUCGAGUCCUAAAUAGGACGAAACGCGCGUCCUGGAU